rnacentral:ncRNA from 1 species
AGGUUUUUCAUUUCAUGCUAAGAAGUGAAACUAAGAGGGAACACAGUGUGAAUCUGUGACUGUACCCGCAGCUGUAUUUCCUAUUUUUAGACACACAUUCUAAAAAUGCCACUUUUCUGAUUAAGAUUGGGAAGGCGUGUGUCAGGGAUAAGCCAGAAGACCUGCCUAUGCGGU